rnacentral:misc_RNA from 1 species
GGAAGGAUCAUUACAAAUCUUUGUCGCUGGUGUUAGUUUAGGCUGACCACCAGCGCACAUAUGCACAGGGCCGCAAGGCUCUGAUGUUUACGCUUGUUUGUUUGACAGAUUGAUGUGACCUAAAUUUUGACAACUUUUAACAAUGGAUCUCUUGGCUCUUGCAACGAUGAAGAACGCAGUAAAGUGCGAUAUGUAGUGCGAUUUGCAUGAAUCUGUGAGUCAUCUAAUCUUUGAACGCAACUUGCGCCUCCUUGGAGGCAUGUCUGUUUGAGUGCCGCAUACAUCAAUGCAGCAAUGCGAUUUGACUGUUGUCCCCGGACUCGGUCUAAACGUAGCCAGAUAGUGGCCUGUGCAGGCUAGCCCGAGUGCUAAGCAUUCUCUGGGCUAGUCUCUACACAUGCCUAAUAUAUCUCUAUCAUUGGCCUCAAAUCAGGCAAGACUACCCGCUGAACUUAAGCAUAUCAGUAAGCGGAGGAAAAGAAACUAACAAGGAUUCCCCUAGUAACGGCGAGUGAAGCGGGAAAAGCUCAAAUUUAAAAUCUCGACGUUCUGCGUCGCGAAUUGUAGUCUAAAGAGGGCGAUCUAGGGUGGAUUGAAUGCGCAAGUCCCUUGGAAUAGGGCGCCAGAGAGGGUGAGAGCCCCGUAAUCGCAUUUGGUCUGCCUCAAGUGAGAGCCUCUCAACGAGUCGAGUUGUUUGGGAAUGCAGCUCAAAGUGGGUGGUAAAUCUCAUCUAAGGCUAAAUAUUGGCAAGAGACCGAUAGCGAACAAGUACCGUGAGGGAAAGAUGAAAAGCACCUUGAAAAGGGAGUUAAAUAGUGCGUGAAAUUGUUAAAAGGGAAACGAUAGAGACCAGUGUUGGCGUGUACUUUAAGCCGGUGCUUUGGUGCCGGUAGCGAGUGCACGUCGAGUCAAUGCCAGUUGCAGCUGUCGGAUACGAGUUGGAGGAAGGUGGGGUCAGUCUUCGGAUCGGCUCUUUAUAGACUCUAAUUUCUGCGACCGCCGCGACUGGAAGCCUGGGACCGCUAGGCUACUAGGGAGGAACAGUGGCCGGACAACAUGUUGACCGGUAGCUCUCACUUUCUACUAACCGACGCCUACUUGGGUGCCCUUGACGAAAUGGUCUUUAACGACCCGUCUUGAAACACGGACCAAGGAGUCUAACAAUCUUGCAAGCAUUAGAGUGGCAAACUCGAGGUGCGCAAUGAAAGUGAAAGCCUGCGAACCUUUGGUGCAGCAGGGACCGGCCUAGAGAUAUUUCGACAGGACCGAGUAAGAGUAGAAUUGUUGGGACCCGAAAGGCGGUGAACUAUGCCUGACUAGGGCGAAGCCAGAGGAAACUCUGGUGGAGGCUCGCAGCCGUUCUGACGUGCAAAUCGAUGGUCAAAGUUGGGUAUAGGGGCGAAAGACUAAUCGAACCGCCUAGUAGCUGGUUCCCUC